AAAUAGGGAGCCAGAUCUGAGAGCAAAAUAUCCAUUAGAAUUUGUUCAUUGUGAUUUAGCUGGGCCAAUUGAGCCUACUGCUAAAGACGGCUUUAAAUAUGCUUUAUCAUUUGUUGACGAUUUUACAGGAAUAACAAUGAUUUAUUUCUUGAGAAGGAAAAGAAUCUUUGUUGGUUAUGACAAAGAAAGUCCGGCAUAUUUGAUUUAUUAUUCAGAAUCAAAUAAAGUAGAGAAAGCACGAUGUGUCAAAUUCCAUGAUAAAUUUCAGGCAGGAAAAAUAAAUGAUAUCGACGAUAUGAUUUCAGAUAGAAUACAAAAUGCAGAUAGUAUGAAUGAAACAGAAGAAAAGCCAAACAAUU